AGUGAACGCUGGCGGCGUGCUUAACACAUGCAAGUCGAACGAUGAUGCUCUAGCUUGCUAGAGCGGAUUAGUGGCGCACGGGUGAGUAAUGUAUAGCUAAUGUGCCCCUUAGAGGGGGAUAACAGUUGGAAACGACUGCUAAUACCCCAUACUCCUUCUUCCUAUAAGGGAAGUUGGGAAAGUUUUUUCGCUAAGGGAUCGGGCUAUAUGGUACCAGCUUGUUGGUGAGGUAAUGGCUCACCAAGGCUAUGACGCCUAUCUGGUCUGAGAGGAUGAUCAGACACACUGGAACUGAGACACGGUCCAGACUCCUACGGGAGGCAGCAGUGGGGAAUAUUACACAAUGGAGGAAACUCUGAUGUAGCAACGCCGCGUGGAGGAUGACACAUUUCGGUGCGUAAACUCCUUUUAUGUGAGAAGAUAAUGACGGUAUCACAUGAAUAAGCACCGGCUAACUCCGUGCCAGCCGCCGCCGUAA
rnacentral:rRNA from 1 species